AGCUGUGAGCUGCGCUCCAAACAACCGCUCGCCAUGCCCUGGGCCUCAGAGCAGCCCCAGCAGCAGACAAGCUCAGCCUCAUCCCGUUCGGGGUUCUGGUGAAGUAUGACCGUCGUAGACAUCUGUAGGAAUAUUCAUAGGAAAACAAAAUAACGGAAAGAAAAAAACGGCAAAGAAUACAGUGGCAAAAAGAGAAAACACAGGAAAGCAAAGCAAAAAAUGAGGUAAGGAAAGGGAAAAAAAAAAAAACAAAUGACG